AAACCGCCGACUUUUUCCCCGGUGGUUCGGGAGCCGCUUCUCGUCGGUACGUGAAAAUCCGAAGCGACGCCUUGGUAAAAUCUCGUACUUGGGUCGGUACUGAUAUCCCGCAGCAGGUCUCCCAAGGUGAAUAGCCUCUGGCCGAUAGAAUAAUGUAAGGUAAGGGGAAGUCGGCAAAACGGAUCCGUAACUUCGGAACCAAGGAUUGGCUCUAAGGGCUGGGCCGAUCGGGCUGAGGUUUCAAGCGUGCAGUGUAUGCUUGGCUUUAGUUGUGUUGAGGACUUGUUCACUUGCCACCGGUUGUUCGGCUGGUCGAGUGUAUUCGAGUCUGAAGCAGAGCUGGCCGACAGACCGGCACGUGCAGAACCUGAGGUGCGCGGCUGUCCGUUUUCGUGUACAGACCGUUUCGGUCGGCAUUCAACAGCCAACUUAGAACUGGCACGGACACAAGGAAUCUGACUGUAUAAUUAAAACAAAGCAUUGCGAUGGCCGAUGAUCGGUGAUGACGCAAUGUGAUUUCUGCCCAGUGCUCUGAAUGUCAAAGUGAAGAAAUUCAAUCAAGCGCGG
rnacentral:ncRNA from 1 species